rnacentral:rRNA from 1 species
GACGAACGCUGGCGGCGUGCUUAACACAUGCAAGUCGAGCGGUAAGGCCCUUUCGGGGGUACACGAGCGGCGAACGGGUGAGUAACACGUGGGUGACCUGCCUUUAGCUAUGGGAUAAGCCUGGGAAACUGGGUCUAAUACCGGAUAUGACUCCAUGAUGCAUGUUGUGGGGUGGAAAGCCUUGUGCGGCUGGAGAUGGGCCCGCGGCCUAUCAGCUUGUUGGUGGGGUGANGGCCUACCAAGGCGACGACGGGUAGCCGGCCUGAGAGGGCGACCGGCCACACUGGGACUGAGACACGGCCCAGACUCCUACGGGAGGCAGCAGUGGGGAAUCUUGCGCAAUGGGCGAAAGCCUGACGCAGCGACGCCGCGUGAGGGAUG